UGGUCAAUCUAGUGGCGAACGGGUGAGUAACACGUGGGUAACCUGCCCAUCAGAGGGGGAUAACAUUCGGAAACGGAUGCUAAAACCGCAUAGGUUCUUGAGUCGCAUGACUGAAGAAGGAAAAGAGGCUUCGACUUCUGCUGAUGGAUGGACCCGCGGUGCAUUAGCUAGUUGGUGAGGUAACGGCUCACCAAGGCCGUGAUGCAUAGCCGACCUGAGAGGGUGAUCGGCCACAUUGGGACUGAGACACGGCCCAAACUCCUACGGGAGGCAGCAGUAGGGAAUCUUCCGCAAUGGACGCAAGUCUGACGGAGCAACGCCGCGUGAGUGAAGAAGGAUUUCGGUUCGUAAAACUCUGUUGUUAGAGAAGAACAGCGCAUAGAGUAACUGUUAUGCGUGUGACGGUAUCUAACCAGAAAGCCACGGCUAACUACGUGCCAGCAGCCGCGGUAAUACGUAGGUGGCAAGCGUUGUCCGGAUUUAUUGGGCGUAAAGCGAGCGCAGGCGGUCAAUUAAGUCUGAUGUGAAAGCCCCCGGCUCAACUGGGGAGGGUCAUUGGAAACUGGUUGACUUGAGUGCAGAAGAGGAGAGUGGAAUUCCAUGUGUAGCGGUGAAAUGCGUAGAUAUAUGGAGGAACACCAGUGGCGAAGGCGACUCUCUGGUCUGUAACUGACGCUGAGGCUCGAAAGCGUGGGUAGCAAACAGGAUUAGAUACCCUGGUAGUCCACGCCGUAAACGAUGAGUGCUAAGUGUUGGAGGGUUUCCGCCCUUCAGUGCUGCAGUUAACG
rnacentral:rRNA from 1 species